UGGUGAGAGAAAUUUCAAGAGGCCCCUAUCCAGUUUCUUCUAUGAAGCCCACAGUCAGGAGCCUCUCUGCCCAGCCAUGAUGUUUCAAUGGCAUACCUGGGGGAUAAACUACUGAGGCGAUAAGCAGUCCUAUGUAGAACAAGCUGAGA